CCCAUGAUCAUAGAAGGCAAAUAGGUUUUAUCUGUAAUGCAUUUGUCGUGUCCUCUGUUAUACAGAUAACUGCUGCUAUACAGAUGUUGGAUCUUAAUUUGAGCCAGUUUGCUACAGCAGGAAAAUAAUCACGCAGCAACAGGGAAGGGGAAUUAUUCUGUGGAUUAUAAUUUAUGGACAUUUUUAUAGGGCUUGAUACAUUUUUCUUAAGGGAAAAUCAAGUCUGAAUUUUCAAAGUGGGAAUUACGAACUUCAGAAGCCUUUUUAAACUUCAAAUAAACCACAAGUUUUAAAUGUGCCGCAUUGCAGGAAAGUUCUCCUGCAACAGGGUGAUCAAAUGAAGAUCCUACAUCUGUAUGCAUAGUUUCUCCCUCAGUAGCAGGGCAGGGGAGGCUGACGGGGAGGGAGGGGUGAGAGGCAAACAAGGGAGCAUCACUGAAUCUGACUUUUGUUCUCUGCUUGAGGCUGGCACAGAGCAGGGCAUAGUCAUCACUUAUCACUGGUUCAGGCUGAUGCUCUCUAUCUGAAGUCAGAGAGGCAGAGAGAGGCUGUACUGACAUUGGGGGUCAUGGGAUUUUACUUCAUGGGGGCGUAUAUCUGAUAACCAGAGCCUAUACACAUAGCCCUCAUCAUGGGGGUGGGGUGAUGCUAUACGGUGGCCUGCCUGUGUCAGCUAGAAAGAACAUCCCCACUGCAGCAAUAGAUUUGCUCUCAGUCACAAGGGAGAUUUCAUGACUCCUAUUUGCAGGCUCCAAAGUGCUAUUGGCAUCAAGAGCUGUACAUACAUACAGCAUAGGGUAGGGGGCUGGAGACUGCUGCAUGACAGCAUUUGAGUGUGUGCAUGAGAGAGUUGGUGGUGUCAGUGUGGAUGUUUGGUGGAGACAGACAGACAGACAGACAGACAGACAGACAGACAGACAGACAGACAGACAGACAGACAGACAGACAGACAGACAGAGUAAUGGACAUUGGUGGUGUCAGUGUGGAUGUAUAGUGGAGACAGACAGAGAGAGAGAGUAAUGAGGGAGAAACACAGGACCAGGUCAUAGUAGACUGUGGCAGAGGGAGAAACACAGGACCAGGUCAUAGUAGACUGUGGCAGAGGGAGAAACACAGGACCAGGUCAUAGUAGACUGUGGCAGAGGGAGAAACACAGGACCAGGUCAUAGUAGACUGUGGCAGAGGGAGAAACACAGGACCAGGUCAUAGUAGACUGUGGCAGAGGGAGAAACACAGGACCAGGUCAUAGUAGACUGUGGCAGAGGGAGAAACACAGGACCAGGUCAUAGUAGACUGUGGCAGAGGGAGAAACACAGGACCAGGUCAUAGUAGACUGUGGUAGAGGGAGAAACACAGGACCAGGUCAUAGUAGACUGUGGCAGAGGGAGAAACACAGGACCAGGUCAUAGUAGACUGUGGCAGAGGGAGAAACACAGGACCAGGUCAUAGUAGACUGUGGCAGAGGGAGAAACACAGGACCAGGUCAUAGUAGACUGUGGCAGAGGGAGAAACACAGGACCAGGUCAUAGUAGACUGUGGCAGAGGGAGAAACACAGGACCAGGUCAUAGUAGACUGUGGCAGAGGGAGAAACACAGGACCAGGUCAUAGUAGACUGUGGCAGAGGGAGAAACACAGGACCAGGUCAUAGUAGACUGUGGCAGAGGGAGAAACACAGGACCAGGUCAUAGUAGACUGUGGCAGAGGGAGAAACACAGGACCAGGUCAUAGUAGACUGUGGCAGAGGGAGAAACACAGGACCAGGUCAUAGUAGACUGUGGCAGAGGGAGAAACACAGGACCAGGUCAUAGUAGACUGUGGCAGAGGGAGAAACACAGGACCAGGUCAUAGUAGACUGUGGCAGAGGGAGAAACACAGGACCAGGUCAUAGUAGACUGUGGCAGAGGGAGAAACACAG